GCCUGGGUGGCGGAACUGGCAGACGCACAGGACUUAAAAUCCUGCGGUGAGUGAUCACCGUACCGGUUCGAUUCCGGUCCUCGGCACCA
rnacentral:tRNA from 1 species